rnacentral:lncRNA from 1 species
UUUAAUAAUUUAAUCAAUUCAAUUCGGUUCGGCCUUUAACCCUUGAUCUUUUAUUUUAUUUCUUUCGAUGUUUGGGCCAAUUUUUUAAAUGUUGCUAUGUUUCUCAACAAUUUAAAAAUAUAUAGUAUAAUUCAAAGAAACACCGUAAAUUAAAAAAAAAAAAAAUUAUUACAUCAUGUCAUUAAAAAUAGUAAUAAUAGAAAAUGACACACACACUCUCAACCAUUAUAUUUGGAAAAUAAAAGAGGGGUAAAAUUGACUUUGCACCAUUUGGUGCAAGGAUUACGCUAUGUGUACAUUGAAGGUAUACACAAUCCUUUAUGCCUCCCUCAAAGGGGGAGGGGCUCACGCAUAAUAAAUUAUUCAUGGCCCCCCUCCAUAUAAGAGGGGUGUCACCAUAUGUGUACAUCCAUUAUGAAAGUUGGUAAAUUGUAAUUGAAUUAUCUCAGAUGAUUACUUAGGCGUUUGUUUCUCAUUUUUGUAAAAUUGAGAAUGAAAAAUAUAAUCGUUAUGGGUUCCACACAAAAGAUAGAAAUUCAAAUUUGGUGGCUUGAUUUGAUGAAUAACGGUCAUAUUUUUCAUUUUAAUGAGAAAAAAAAUGUUAAACAAACAGGGGCUUCUUAAUUUCUACUGCAAGGUAAAUUGAAAAAGAAGAAUAAUAUUACCCUAGAGACGUUGGUUUUGGUUCAAUAUUUGCACUUCCACGUGCUUUCCAAUCUCCUUCCUGGAAGGAUAUUAUUGCUCAAAGAUGACAGAAUCCAUGUGCUUAAUCUUGAUUGUUAGGUUGGCCUUGACUUCUGAGUCAUUUUGAAGUCAUUUCUUCUUAGUAAACAUGCUAUAUCAUAGAUGAUAUCGUCCUAUACUAAAAAGAAUUCACUCAAACUAGGAGUGGGUAUAUUAACUGUGGAACCUACCCAAACAGACCUGAUGGGUUGGUUUCAUGGGACGUCAGGUCGAUUUUCGAGUUUGCUUGGACUCAAUCAGGAAAAGUUGAUUUAAAGUUCAAAAAAAAAAAAAAAUAUAUAUAUAUAUACUGGGAUAAAGAUAAAGUAUUUUGUGAAAUAAAAAUUAAGAAUCCAGAAUAUAUUAUUAAAACUAAAAAUAUUGAAGCUACAAAUCAAGAUCAGGAAGAUUUUAGAAUGCAUAUAAAUGAUUUAUUAAAAUUAGGAGUUAUCAGAAAAUCAGAAAGUCCUCAUAGGUCAGCAGCCUUUAUAGUUAGAAAACAUUCAGAAAUUAUUAGAGGAAAAAGUAGAAUGGUAAUUAAUUAUAAAUGAUUAAAUGAUAAUACUAUAGAUGAUGCUUAUAAUAUCCCAGAUAAAACAGUUUUAAUAAAUAAGAUACAAGAUUGUAAUAUUUUUAGUAAGUUUGACUUAAAAUCAGGUUUUUGGCAAGUUAAGAUGCACCCAGACUCAAUUGAAUGGACAGCCUUUACUAGUCCAGAAGGACAUUUUGAAUGGCUUGUAAUGCCAUUUGGUUUAAAAAAUGCCCCUAGCAUAUUUCAAAGAAAAAUGGAUAGCAUUUUUAGUAAACAUAAUAAAUUUAUUAUAGUUUAUAUAGAUGAUAUUUUAGUAUUUAGUAAAAAUAGAAGAGAACAUAGAGGUCAUUUACAAAUUCUUUUUUCAGAAUUUAUUAGACAUGGU